GACGAACGCUGGCGGCGUGCUUAACACAUGCAAGUCGAACGAAGGGGCGAACGGGUGAGUAAUAUGUGGGUAACUGCCCUCCUUUGUGGGAUAACCCUUGGAAAGGGGGUCAAAUACCGAAUAAAGGGGGAUGGCUCUCGGUCUAUCAGGUUGUUGGUGGGGUGAUGGCCUACCACGGCGGGGACGGGUAGCCGGCCUGAGAGGGGGAACGGCCACAUUGGGCUGAGAUACGGCCCAAACUCCUACGGGAGGCAGCAGUGGGGAAUAUUGCACAAUGGGGGAAAGCCUGAUGCAGCGACGCCGCGUGCGGGAUGACGGCCUUCGGGUUGUAAACCGCUUUCAGCCAUGACGCGGUAGUGGCAGAAGAAGCACCGGCUAACUCCGUGCCAGCAGCCGCGGUAAUAC
rnacentral:rRNA from 1 species